CACUUUAGAAUAACAUUUGCAAGGCAUAAAAUCAACCGUUAGGAUUAACUGUAGAAAUUAACAGCUCCGAAUUUCCUAUCAGUUGUCCAAUUCUGAAGAGAAAGAGAUGAGGAUUUUGCUAAACUUUUCUCCCCCCAUAAGUGAGCAGUUUCAGAAUACUAUACUUUUACAUUUUGAAUGAUGGGAGAACACAGUAUAACUGUCUGCUCAGCUUCUUGUCUGAGCUCAUUCAUAUAAUCUUUAGUUUGGAAGUUGUUUUGGAAAUGAAGUAAAACUUGAAGAAGUGAGUCUGUGUGUUUGUGUGUGAUAUAGUAAUCACUCCUUUUUUGGCAAAAUAUUAUAAAACACAGGAUUGCAGACAUUACAUACUCUGUCUACUGUUUCCAAGACACUAAUUUGUUGCAUGUAGUUUGACAGACCCAUAAUUUAAAACUGAAGUAUUUAAGCGGUAUUAGAGGGAGGGUCAAAUUCUGCCCUGGGUUCAGAUGUUGCAUAGGAGACUAAAAAUUAUUUCCUUAGCAGAUAAGGAUGCUUGCCACUGUGCUGAGAGAGGGACAAAUGCUACAUGGCUCAAAAGAUGCUGAGCAACUGCUAUCUCUUCGCUCGUCAUGCUGAUACCAAUAUACGCUUACAUCCGCUUACAGAAGACGACAGUCUAAAAGAAACUACUUAUUUUAACCAUUUGAAACUUUGUGAGAGACCAGAUUGCUUUCUGGGAAGGUUGUAAUGCCAUGGAUCAAGGAGACCCUCUUCCCCUGUGAUGCGUGUGCCACCAGCCAGAGAAGCUGCAUGAUCUUUUUCAUUCUUCCUCGUUUUCUUCUCUUAACAUUUAACACUUUCAAAUUACUGUUUAUUUUAGAAAAUAAAGGUCUUUGAAG
rnacentral:lncRNA from 1 species